UGGCUAAAAGGACCUGUCCCUCUAAAUCUACUUUAAAAGUCGGAUAAAGCGUUAACAGGUCGUCUUCUGUGUUAGUUAACUAUUAAUCCUCAACAUGGCUGGCCAGAGUUGUAUUGCGUUAUGUGUCGUUUUAGGACUUCAGCUAGCAGCUGCCCAGAUGUGGCCACCUCAAGCCUCAACCAUGUGGCCACAACAACAAAACUGGUUUGGAAAUCAAAUGAAUGAUAUUACUCAACAAGGAGCCCAAUAUGCCACCUGUAUGGUCCAAACACAAGGUAACGAUCAAUUAAGAGUUACCUUCGAAAGACCAACACCAGCUCAAAAUCAAGGCUGGAAUCAAUGGGUGAACCCUUCAGCACCAAUCCGUAUGACUGCUAAUAUCGUUUCUGGCACGAUCGCGGGGCAAUUGCAGAUGAUAAUUACAGAAUACGGGCGAACAUCUGGCGGUGUUUGUUAUCCAGAGUACAUGGGAAAUAUUAUUCGCGGUAAUGCACAAAAUGCUAUGAUGAAUCAAAACAAUUUCUGGCAAGCAUUCAUGCUACAGGGACAACAACAACAAAAUAAUGAAAGACUUGGUGGUGUUAUUGGCAGUCCCAUAUAUCUUAAUCAAGGACAAUCCGCCACUAUGUCUGAACGGGUUGACGUUAAUUUCGAAGAUCUGUUUGGUCGUGGAAUAGCGCUCUGUUCGACUUUAAAUCAAAACGUGUGCUCUAGAAUGGCACAGUUGUGUUGCACUAUCGGCCAGGAUAAAAAUGCAGCUUCUAAUUUGAACAACAUAGGCAUGAACGGCGCCAUGAAUGGUGGUAUGGUUGGUGGCGUAAACAACCCCCUGAAUGGUAAUAUGAACCAAUUUGGAAUGGCUUCUAGCAAUGGGCUUCAACAGCCCAUGAACUCUGGUCUAAACACACAACCAACGGGCGGACAACAAAGUAUUGCAUUCGGAAUUUAAGAAUCUUUUUAAAUCGAUUAAAAAAAAUGUAUGUAUCAAUGUUGUGCAAACGAUACCCGCCUUGGUCUAAAUUAACAGAGACGAUGUAUCAAUUAAGUAACUGUAUUUUCAAAUUUGUAUUGAAUUGAAAACCUAGCAUACAUGUAAUACAUGAGUUAAGUAUUUAACAUAAUAUUUUUAUUUAAUCUUUGAAAUGGUAAUAUAUAAUUAGUAGAAUUUAUAUUGUAUAAUUUUUUAUGACUAUCCACCGUGCUUAAGUUCAGUUUCCUUCCAUGGCCGUUUCAAACUUAACAAAAACUAUUUCUAAUAUCAUUUCUCUGUAUUAUUAUUGCAAUUAUGGUUAUUAAAUGUAAAAUUGUAUCUGGAAAUGGUCUACAUGUUGUUGCGUAAUUCUUUGGGUUCCGGGGGUGGGGGGAUGCGCGUUGUAUCAUAAGAUCUGUCAUUGCGUCAAC